rnacentral:rRNA from 1 species
AGAGCGAACGCUGGCGGCAGGCCUAAUACAUGCAAGUCGAACGGAUCCUUCGGGAUUAGUGGCGGACGGGUGAGUAACACGUGGGAACGUGCCCUUUGGUUCGGAACAACUCAGGGAAACUUGAGCUAAUACCGGAUGUGCCCUUCGGGGGAAAGAUUUAUCGCCAUUGGAGCGGCCCGCGUCUGAUUAGCUAGUUGGUAGGGUAAAGGCCUACCAAGGCUUCGAUCAGUAGCUGGUCUGAGAGGAUGAUCAGCCACACUGGGACUGAGACACGGCCCAGACUCCUACGGGAGGCAGCAGUAGGGAAUCUUGCGCAAUGGGCGAAAGCCUGACGCAGCCAUGCCGCGUGAAUGAUGAAGGUCUUAGGAUUGUAAAAUUCUUUCAGCGGGGACGAUAAUGACGGUACCCGCAGAAGAACGCCCGGCUAACUCGCGCCAGCAGCCGC